rnacentral:rRNA from 1 species
GAGAGGUGCUGCAUGGCUGUCGUCAGCUCGUGUUGUGAAAUGUUGGGUUAAGUCUCGCAACGAGCGCAACCCCUAUCGUCUAUUGCCAGCAUUAAGUUGGGCACUCUGACGAGACUGCCUGGGUUAACCAGGAGGAAGGUGGGGAUGACGUCAAGUCCUCAUGGCCCUUAUGUCUAGGGCUACACACGUAAUACAAUGGCGCGUACAAAGGGAAGCGAACUCGCAAGGGGGAGCAAAUCUCAAAAAGCGCGUCUCAGUCCGGAGGGGAGUCUGCAACUCGACUCCAUGAAGUUGGAAUCGCUAGUA